rnacentral:rRNA from 1 species
UACAGAGGGUGCGAGCGUUAAUCGGAAUUACUGGGCGUGAAGGGCGCGUAGGCGGCCUGCUAAGUCGAACGUGAAAUCCCUGGGCUCAACCCAGGAACUGCGUCCGAUACUGGUUGGCUUGAAUCCGGGAGAGGGACGUGGAAUUCCAGGUGUAGCGGUGAAAUGCGUAGAUAUCUGGAGGAACACCGGUGGCGAAGGCGACAUCCUGGACCGGUAUUGACGCUGAGGCGCGAAAGCCAGGGGGAGCAAACGGG